rnacentral:rRNA from 1 species
AGUGAAUAGAUACCCUGGUAGUCCUAGCCGUAAACGAUACUCGCUAGGUGUCGGCCACGGUGCGACCGUUGUCGGUGCCGUAGGGAAAGCCGUGAAGCGAGCCACCUGGGAAGUACGGCCGCAAGGCUGAAACUUAAAGGAAUUGGCGGGGGAGCACCACAACGGGUGGAGCUUGCGGUUUAAAUUGGAUUCAACGCCGGAAAUCUUACCGGGACCGACAGCGAUAUGAAGGCCAGGCUGAAGACUUUGCCGGAUUAGCUGAGAGGUGGUGCAUGGCCGUCGUCAGUUCGUACUGUGAAGCAUCCUGUUAAGUCAGGCAACGAGCGAGACCCACGCCCACAGUUGCCAGCGUACUCUCCGGAGUGACGGGUACACUGUGGGGACCGCCGCUGCUAAAGCGGAGGAAGGAAUGGGCAACGGUAGGUCAGUAUGCCCCGAAUAUCCCGGGCUACACGCGAGCUACAAUGGUUGGAACAAUGGGUAUCUACCCCGAAAGGGGAUGGAAAUCUCCUAAAUCCAAUCUUAGUUCGGAUUGA